rnacentral:rRNA from 1 species
GGUUAAGCGACUAAGCGUACACGGUGGAUGCCCUGGCAGUCAGAGGCGAUGAAGGGCGUGCUAAUCUGCGAUAAGCGCCGGUAAGGUGAUAUGAACCGUUAUAACCGGCGAUACCCGAAUGGGGAAACCCAGUGUGACUCGUCACACUAUCAUUAACUGAAUCCAUAGGUUAAUGAGGCGAACCGGGGGAACUGAAACAUCUAAGUACCCCGAGGAAAAGAAAUCAACCGAGAUUCCCCCAGUAGCGGCGAGCGAACGGGGAGGAGCCCAGAGCCUGAAUCAGCAUGUGUGUUAGUGGAAGCGUCUGGAAAGACGCGCGAUACAGGGUGACAGCCCCGUACACAAAAGCGCAUGUGCUGUGAGCUCGAUGAGUAGGGCGGGACACGUGGUAUCCUGUCUGAAUAUGGGGGGACCAUCCUCCAAGGCUAAAUACUCCUGACUGACCGAUAGUGAACCAGUACCGUGAGGGAAAGGCGAAAAGAACCCCGGCGAGGGGAGUGAAAAAGAACCUGAAACCGUGUACGUACAAGCAGUGGGAGCACCCUUUGGGG